rnacentral:rRNA from 1 species
UACAGAGGGGGCAAGCGUUGUUCGGAAUUACUGGGCGUAAAGGGCGCGUAGGCGGCCUGUUAAGUCGGACGUGAAAUCCCUCGGCUCAACCGGGGAACUGCGUCCGAUACUGGCGGGCUUGAAAUCGGGAGAGGGAUGUGGAAUUCCAGGUGUAGCGGUGAAAUGCGUAGAUAUCUGGAGGAACACCAAUGGCGAAGGCAGCUCUCUGGGACGGUACUGACGCUGAGACGCGAAAGCGUGGGGAGCGAACAGG